rnacentral:rRNA from 1 species
CUACGGUCUCAGUCAGAUUGCAGGCUGCAACUCGCCUGCAUGAAGUUGGAAUUGCUAGUAAUCGCGAAUCAGAAUGUCGCGGUGAAUACGUUCCCGGGCCUUGUACACACCGCCCGUCACACCAUGAGAGUCGAUAACACCCGAAGCCUGUGAGCUAACCUUUUAGGAGGCAGCAGUCGAAGGUGGGGUUGAUGAUUGGGGUGAAGUCGUAACAAGGUACC